rnacentral:rRNA from 1 species
AACGAACGCUGGCGGCAGGCUUAACACAUGCAAGUCGGGCGCCCCGCAAGGGGAGCGGCAGGCGGGUGAGUAACGCGUGGGAAUCUACCCAUCUCUACGGAAUAACGCAUGGAAACGUGUGCUAAUACCGUAUACGUCCUUCGGGAGAACGAUUUAUCGGAGAUGGAUGAGCCCGCGUUGGAUUAGCCAGUUGGUGGAGUAAAGGCCUACCAAGGCGACGAUCCAUAGCUGGUCUGAGAGGAUGAUCAGCCACACUGGGACUGCGACACGGCCCAGACUCCUACGGAAGGCAGCAGUGGGGAAUAUUGGACAAUGGGCGCAAGCCUGAUCCAGCCAUGCCGCGUGAGUGAUGAAGGCCCUAGGGUUGUAAAGCUCUUUCACCGGUGAAGAUAAUGACGGUAACCGGAGAAGAAGCCCCGGCUAACUUCGUGCCAGCCGCCGCGGUAAUAC